rnacentral:rRNA from 1 species
AACGAACGCUGGCGGCAGGCUUAACACAUGCCAGUCGAGCGCCCCGCAAGGGGAGCGGCAGACGGGUGAGUACCGCGUGGGAACGUACCUUUUGGUUCGGAACAACUCCGGGAAACUGGAGCUAAUACCGGAUAAGCCCUAACGGGGAAAGAUUUAUCGCCGAAAGAUCGGCCCGCGUCUGAUUAGCUAGUUGGUGAGGUAACGGCUCACCAAGGCGACGAUCAGUAGCUGGUCUGAGAGGAUGAUCAGCCACACUGGGACUGAGACACGGCCCAGACUCCUACGGGAGGCAGCAGUGGGGAAUAUUGGACAAUGGGCGCAAGCCUGAUCCAGCCAUGCCGCGUGAGUGAUGAAGGCCUUAGGGUUGUAAAGCUCUUUUGUCCGGGAAGAUAAUGACUGUACCGGAAGAAUAAGCCCCGGCUAACUUCGU